rnacentral:rRNA from 1 species
UACGUAGGGUGCGAGCGUUGUCCGGAAUUAUUGGGCGUAAAGAGCUCGUAGGCGGUGUGUCGCGUCGGCCGUGAAAACCUGGGGCUUAACUCUGGGCGUGCGGUCGAUACGGGCAUCACUAGAGUUCGGCAGGGGAGACUGGAAUUCCUGGUGUAGCGGUGGAAUGCGCAGAUAUCAGGAGGAACACCGAUGGCGAAGGCAGGUCUCUGGGCCAUUACUGACACUGAGAAGCGAAAGCAUGGGGAGCGAACAGG